UACGUAUGUCCCGAGCGUUAUCCGGAUUUAUUGGGCGUAAAGCGAGCGCAGACGGUUGAUUAAGUCUGAUGUGAAAGCCCGGAGCUCAACUCCGGAAUGGCAUUGGAAACUGGUUAACUUGAGUGCAGUAGAGGUAAGUGGAACUCCAUGUGUAGCGGUGGAAUGCGUAGAUAUAUGGAAGAACACCAGUGGCGAAGGCGGCUUACUGGACUGUAACUGACGUUGAGGCUCGAAAGUGUGGGUAGCAAACAGG
rnacentral:rRNA from 1 species